rnacentral:rRNA from 1 species
UCAAACAUCGCUUUUUGUUUUAAGGAAAAAAAGUCUGACCUCCCCAGUGGUUUACUCUUAACGGGCACAAUUUUGGGUUAAAGUAGCGCGAUAAAUUGUCUUUUAAUUGGAGAAAUGGUAUGAAGGGUUCGACGACAGAAAAGCUUUAUUAAAAACAGCUAUUGAAAUUUAUAUUUAAGUGAAAAGGCUUAAAUAUAUUUGUUAGACGAGAAGACCCUGUUGAGCUUGAUAUCCUACUUUAUUGUUUCUAAAGUGGGUAUGUUUGUUCGGGGUAGAAAGGAAGGGAGUUAAUAUCUUCUUUAUUAUGUGUAGGUUAAGCAUGAGCUAUGAAAAGAAAAAAGCUACCACAGGGAUAACAGCACAAUUACUUUUGCGGAGUUCUUAUCUUAAAAAGAGUUUGUGACCUCGAUGUUGAAUCAAGAUUUCUACCAGAUGAAAAAGGUUGGAAAGUAGGACUGUUCGUCCUUUAAAAUCUUACGUGAUUGUUCCAGACCGGG